AUCGCUUCUCGGCCUUUUGCGUAAGAUCAAGUGUAGUAUCUGUUCUUAUCAGUUUAAUAUCUGAUACGUCCCCUAUCUGGGGACCAUAUAUUAAAUGGAUUUUUGGAACAGGGAGAUGGAAGAAGAGCUUGCUCUGUCCACUCCACGCAUCGACCUGGUAUUGCAGUACCUCCAGGACCGGUGCACCUCUC
ensembl:snRNA U2 U2 spliceosomal RNA